AAUGGUUGAUGACAUAAUGCCAAAUAAAAGGAAAUUUCCAGAAAGAAACAUACAUAGGAGAUGGAUUCAAUAGGAAAGAUACUAAAGGUUUUUUUUUUUUGGAACCUUUUUGUCCUGCCCUUGAAACCAUCCCUGACCCUCCGACACAGGAUUAUAAGCCUCUUCUGUGUGCUCCUGUGGCAUCUAGAAUCUACGCCUGUGAUGUUGUGUUUAAUGCACAUUUAAACAUAUUCAGAAGAAUGGGUGGUUCAAAAGGAUGCCUCUGUAUUCCCCUAACAUGAACCACAGAGAGGUUAAGUUACCUGCUCCUAGUAACACAGCUAGUAAAUAGCAAAUGAAACCGAAUAGAUGAAUAACGUAUAUGUCUUCUGCCAAUUAAAAAAAAGUCCUGUGAUUUGUACAGCUGUGACUGAGAGAAGCCAAAUGAUACUUGAAGGCAAAGGAAGAUGGAAAAUGAAAGAAUAAAUGAGUGGAAAAUUCCACAACUCAGAAUCCCAAUGCUCUCUCAAGGACAAGAUUGUUACUUGAGAAGGUUCUGUUGAAUUUUUGGCAUUCUUGCAUUAUCUCACUUUGAAGAUGGAAUGUAAACCGUGGUUUUCAGCAAGUAUCAUUGUUCUCUGAAAUAGACUCAGUUAGAUUUGCUGGGAC